rnacentral:rRNA from 1 species
AUGACAACGGCCGCGUUGCGACUGCGAUUGCCGAGAGCUCCGGCCACCGCCACUCUCACCGUGGUGCCCCGUCAGUACGCACUCCCGGAGGAGGAGCCCCCGCCGCGCCGCCCCAACACGGCCCACCUCAAUGCGCUGCUCACGUCGUACGGCCGCCGCGGCCGCCUCCGCGACGCCCAGCAGCUGUUCGACCAAAUGCCCCGCCGGGACGUCAUCUCCUGGACCGCUCUCCUCACCGCCUACGCCGACAACGGCGACCUCGCCUCCGCGCGCCUCGUCUUCGACGACAUGCCCCGCCGCAACGCCCCCUCCUGGAACGCCCUGCUCUCCGUCUACCUCCGCUUGGGGCAACCAGCCGCCGCUCACGCGCUCUUCUCCAAGAUGCCGGUCAGGAACGCGGUGUCCUAUGGCGCCAUGAUCACGGGGCUCGCCAGGGCAGGGAUGCUUCGUGAAGCUGAGGCUGUGUAUGCGGAGAUGCCACAUCAGUGGCGUGACCCAGUAGGGUCAAAUGCGCUGAUGGCCGGGUACUUGAGGGCUGGGAAGCUUGGCAUGGCGUUGAGGGUGUUUGACGGAAUGGCGGUGAGGGAUGUCAUAUCCUGGAGCGUGGUGGUCGAUGGGCUCUGCAAACACGGAAGCGUGUCGGAGGCGAGGAAGGUGUUUGAGACCAUGCCAGAGCGGAAUGUUGUGUCGUGGACCUCGAUGAUUCGUGGAUAUGUGAAACUUAGGAUGUACAGAGAUGCUCUGUUGCUGUUCCUGGACAUGAGAAGGGCAGGUGUUCAGGUUAAUACAACGACACUCUCAGUUGUGCUAGAUGCUUGUGCUGAGGCUUGCCUUGUCAGAGAAGGAGUUCAGAUUCACAGUUUGAUUGUAGCAAUGGGUUUUGAAAUGGAUGUUUUCUUGGGCGAUUCAAUAAUCAUCCUGUAUUCCCGGUUUGGUUGGAUGGUUGAUGCUAGAAGGGCAUUUGCUUGCAUGAAGUGGAAAGACAUAGUAUCAUGGAACUCGUUGAUCACAGGCUAUGUUCAGCAUAACUUGGUUCAAGAAGCACAUGUCCUGUUCAAGUUAAUGCCUGAGAAGGAUGCUGUUUCUUGGACGUCGAUGGUUGUUGGGUUCGCUAACAGGGGUUGGAUGAGGGAGUCUGUUGACCUGUUUGAGCAAAUGCCAGGAAAAGAUGAGGUUGCUUGGACUGCAGUCAUUUCUAGUCUUGCUACAAAUGGAGACUAUUUAAGUGCAGUGCGGUGGUUUUGUCGCAUGGCACGAGAAGGGUGCAAACCUAAUACAGUAGCUUUUAGUUGUCUACUCAGUGCUUUGGCUAGCUUGACAACGUUGAAUCAAGGAAUGCAAGCUCAUGCAUAUGCAAUCAACAUGGGAUGGGUAUUUGACUCUUCUGUUCACACUUCUCUGGUAUCAAUGUACGCAAAAUGCGGAAGGUUGGCUGAGGCUUAUCGCGUUUUCUCAGCCAUUAGCAGUCCAAGUCUUAUUGCUACUAAUUCUAUGAUUACAGCAUUUGCGCAACAUAAUUUUGCUGAAGAUGCAUUCAAGCUUUUUACCAAAAUGCAAAUUGAUGGCCACAAGCCUAACCAUGCGACAUUCGUGGGAAUUCUGACUGGCUGUGCACGUGCUGGUCUGGUUCAAGAAGGUUACAACUACUUUGAGUCAAUGAGAUCAGUCUAUGGCAUUGAACCAAACCCUGACCAUUAUACAUGUAUGGUUGAUCUUUUAGGUCGUGCUGGCCUCCUUGCCGAAGCACUGGAAAUGAUUAAGUCGAUGCCCCAGAAUGAUCAUUCUGAUGCAUGGGCAGCUUUGCUCAGUGCUAGUAGUCUCCAUUCUAAUCUUGCUUAUGCAAAAAUAGCAGCACAGAAGCUUCUUGAGUUGGAUCCUUAUGACGCAGCAGCUUAUACCGUCCUGUCAAAUAUGCUCUCAUCUGCGGGGAUGAAGGAUGACAGAGACAUGCUAAAAGUUCUACAGUUGUCCAACAUGGCCAGUAAAACCCCUGGCUAUAGCCUUAUUAUACAGGAUAAGGCUGCAGAAAACAGAAUACAUAGUGAACACUUCUAG